rnacentral:rRNA from 1 species
GUCUCAGUUCGGAUUGGAGUCUGCAAUUCGACUCCAUGAAGGCGGAAUCGCUAGUAAUCGCGGAUCAGCAUGCCGCGGUGAAUACGUUCCCGGGCCUUGUACACACCGCCCGUCACACCACGAAAGCGACGUGAACCAGAAGCCGGUGACCCAACCGCAAGGAGGGAGCCGUCCAAGGUUUGAGUCGUGAUUGGGGUGAAGUCGUAACAAGGUAGCCGUAGGGGAACCUGCGGCUGGAUCACCUCCUUUCUAGGGAG